UUAAAGGCUACGAAAAGGAAAAGUAUAUGGGGUAAAGUUCAAAGAGAGCCUCUGUUGGUGAGAUGAGGUAACGAUAUUCCAUUGAAAAAUGACCUUUGAGCUGCGCACCAAACACAAAAAUGUUAGUAGGCUGCGACGAGAGUGCACUCGUUACAACGGCGCCAGUAUAGAUGUACUGAUGGAGGCAAAUUGUGAGAGCAAUUUGUGAAAAUAGGUGGUAACACGGGAAAUCUCGUCCUAAUC
rnacentral:ncRNA from 1 species